rnacentral:snRNA from 1 species
AUACAGUAUCUUGCAAGCGAAAUAUACCACGGUCAUGAAAGUGGUUUUUCUGGGGUAAGGCUUAUCCAUUGCACUUCAGGUGUGCUGAUCCCUAUGAUUUCCCCAAAUGUGGGGAACUCAACUGCAUAAUUUGUGUUAAUGGGAGAUCACACUUAUGAUUUCCCU